GUGGACUCCUCGUCUCUCUCCCUCUCCUCGACGGAAUCUGUCGGAAUCAAUCGAUGAUCUCUUGACGACUCCGAGUCGCUGUUCGCUCUCCUUGACGAAUCCUCGUCUCUCUCUCUCUCUCCUCGACGACUCCGCAUCUCUCUCCCUCUCCUCGACGACUCCGACUCUCCGUCGCUCUCCUCGACGACUCCUCGCCUCUCUCCCUCUCCUCGACGACUCCAAGUCUCUCUCCCUCUCCUCGACGACUCCGACUCUCCGUCGCUCUCCUUGACGACUCCUCGUCUCUCACCCUCUCCUCGACGACUCCUCGUCUCUCUCCCUCUCCUCGACGACUCCGCGUUUCUCUCCCUCUCCUCGACGACUCCGCCUCUUUAUAUUGAUCUCUCAUCGAAGAUAAAUCUCCCGGCUUCAGUCUCUGUGGACCUCUCUCUCCGGCCCGUGGCUCUCCUCGAUGAAAUCAAAUGGAAAGAUGGGCGGAUCAAGAGACAUUGAAGGUUCGUGAAAGAAGA